UACGAAGGGGGCUAGCGUUGCUCGGAAUCACUGGGCGUAAAGGGCGCGUAGGCGGCGUUUUUAAGUCGGGGGGUGAAAGCCUGUGGCUCAACCACAGAAUGGCCUCGAUACUGGGACGCUUGAGUAUGGUAGAGGUUGGUGGAACUGCGAGUGUAGAGGUGAAAAUUCGUAGAUAUUGGGAAGAACACCGGUGGCGAAGGCGGCUCACUGGCUCGUUUCUGACGCUCAGGCGCGACAGCGUGGGGAUCAAACAGG
rnacentral:rRNA from 1 species